GACGAACGCUGGCGGCGUGCCUAAUACAUGCAAGUCGAACGCAGUGGGGACGGGUGAGUAACACGUGGGUAACCUCCCAUCAGAGGGGAUAACACUUGGAAACAGGUGCUAAACCGAUACUGAUGGAUGGACCCGCGGUGCAUUAGCGAGUUGGUGGGGUAACGGCUCACCAAGGCCACGAUGCAUAGCCGACCUGAGGGGGUGAUCGGCCACACUGGGACUGAAAAAGGGCCCAGACUCCGAGGGGGGGCAGCAGGGGGGAAUCUGCGGCAAUGGACGAAAGUCUGACCGAGCAACGCCGCGUGAGGAAAGAAGGUUUUCGGAUCGAAAAACUCUGUUGUGAGAGAAGCGGUAUCUAACCAGAAAGCCACGGCUAACUACGUGCCAGCAGCCGCGGUAAUA
rnacentral:rRNA from 1 species